rnacentral:rRNA from 1 species
UACAGAGGGGGCAAGCGUUAUUCGGAAUUAUUGGGCGUAAAGAGCGUGUAGGCGGCUUGGUAGGUCCGCUGUGAAAACUCGAGGCUCAACCUCGAGAUGUCGGCGGAAACCACUUGGCUAGAGUCCGGAAGAGGAGAGUGGAAUUCCUGGUGUAGCGGUGAAAUGCGCAGAUAUCAGGAAGAACACCUAUGGCGAAGGCAGCUCUCUGGGACGGUACUGACGCUGAGACGCGAAAGCGUGGGGAGCGAACAGG